rnacentral:rRNA from 1 species
ACGGGUGAGUAACACGUGGGCAAUCUGCCCUUCACUCUGGGACAAGCCCUGGAAACGGGGUCUAAUACCGGAUAAUACUCCUGCCUGCAUGGGCGGGGGUUGAAAGCUCCGGCGGUGAAGGAUGAGCCCGCGGCCUAUCAGCUUGUUGGUGGGGUAAUGGCCCACCAAGGCGACGACGGGUAGCCGGCCUGAGAGGGCGACCGGCCACACUGGGACUGAGACACGGCCCAGACUCCUACGGGAGGCAGCAGUGGGGAAUAUUGCACAAUGGGCGAAAGCCUGAUGCAGCGACGCCGCGUGAGGGAUGACGGCCUUCGGGUUGUAAACCUCUUUCAGCAGGGAAGAAGCGAAAGUGACGGUACCUGCAGAAGAAGCGCCGGCUAACUACGUGCCAGCAGCCGCGGUAAUACGUAGGGCGCAAGCGUUGUCCGGAAUUAUUGGGCGUAAAGAGCUCGUAGGCGGCUUGUCACGUCGGAUGUGAAAGCCCGAGGCUUAACCUCGGGUCUGCAUUCGAUACGGGCUAGCUAGAGUGUGGUAGGGGAGAUCGGAAUUCCUGGUGUAGCGGUGAAAUGCGCAGAUAUCAGGAGGAACACCGGUGGCGAAGGCGGAUCUCUGGGCCAUUACUGACGCUGAGGAGCGAAAGCGUGGGGAGCGAACAGGAUUAGAUACCCUGGUAGU